rnacentral:rRNA from 1 species
UACGUAGGGGGCAGGCGUUAUCCGGAUUUACUGGGUGUAAAGGGGGCGCAGACGGCGAUGCAAGCCAGGAGUGAAAGCCCGGGGCCCAACCCCGGGACUGCUCUUGGAACUGCGUGGCUGGAGUGCAGGAGGGGCAGGCGGAAUUCCUGGUGUAGCGGUGAAAUGCGUAGAUAUCAGGAGGAACACCGGUGGCGAAGGCGGCCUGCUGGACUGCAACUGACGUUGAGGCCCGAAAGCGUGGGGAGCAAACAGG